rnacentral:rRNA from 1 species
GACGAACGCUGGCGGCGUGCUUAACACAUGCAAGUCGAACGGAAAGGCCCUGCUUUUGUGGGGUGCUCGAUUGGCGAACGGGUGAGUAACACGUGAGUAACCUGCCCUUGACUUUGGGAUAACUUCAGGAAACUGGGGCUAAUACCGGAUAGGAGCUCCUGCUGCAUGGUGGGGGUUGGAAAGUUUCGGCGGUUGGGGAUGGACUCGCGGCUUAUCAGCUUGUUGGUGGGGUAGUGGCUUACCAAGGCUUUGACGGGUAGCCGGCCUGAGAGGGUGACCGGCCACAGUGGGACUGGGAUACGGCCCGGACUCCUACGGGAGGCAGCAGUGGGGAAUAUUGCACAAUGGGCGGAAGCCUGAUGCAGCAACGCCGCGUGCGGGAUGACGGCCUUCGGGUUGUAAACCGCUUUCGCCUGUGACGAAGCGUGAGUGACGGUAAUGGGUAAAGAAGCACCGGCUAACUACGUG